GGGAAAGAGCUUGCUCUUUCCGGAAUUGAGUGGCAAACGGGUGAGUAACACGUAAACAACCUGCCUUCAGGAUGGGGACAACAGACGGAAACGACUGCUAAUACCGAAUAAGUUCCAAGAGCCGCAUGGCCCAUGGAAGAAAAGGUGGCCUCUACCUGUAAGCUAUCGCCUGAAGAGGGGUUUGCGUCUGAUUAGCUGGUUGGAGGGGUAACGGCCCACCAAGGCGACGAUCAGUAGCCGGUCUGAGAGGAUGAACGGCCACACUGGAACUGAGACACGGUCCAGACUCCUACGGGAGGCAGCAGUGGGGAAUCUUCCGCAAUGGGCGAAAGCCUGACGGAGCAACGCCGCGUGAGUGAUGACGGCCUUCGGGUUGUAAAACUCUGUGAUCCGGGACGAAAAGGCAGAGUGCGAAGAACAAACUGCAUUGACGGUACCGGAAAAGCAAGCCACGGCUAACUACGUGCCAGCAGCCGCGGUAAUACGUAGGUGGCAAGCGUUGUCCGGAAUUAUUGGGCGUAAAGCGCGCGCAGGCGGCUUCCCAAGUCCCUCUUAAAAGUGCGGGGCUUAACCCCGUGAUGGGAAGGAAACUGGGAAGCUGGAGUAUCGGAGAGGAAAGUGGAAUUCCUAGUGUAGCGGUGAAAUGCGUAGAGAUUAGGAAGAACACCGGUGGCGAAGGCGACUUUCUGGACGAAAACUGACGCUGAGGCGCGAAAGCGUGGGGAGCAAACAGGAUUAGAUACCCUGGUAG
rnacentral:rRNA from 1 species